rnacentral:rRNA from 1 species
GAAUUUUGGACAAUGGGGGAAACCCUGAUCCAGCCAUCCCGCGUGUGCGAUGAAGGCCUUCGGGUUGUAAAGCACUUUUGGCAGGGAAGAAACGGCACCGGCUAAUACCGGGUGUCACCGACGGUACCUGCAGAAUAAGCACCGGCUAACUACGUGCCAGCAGCCGCGGUAAUACGUAGGGUGCAAGCGUUAAUCGGAAUUAUUGGGCGUAAAGCGAACGUAGGCGGUUUCUUAAGUUUGGUCUUAAAGACCGGGGCUCAACCUCGGGAAUGGACUGAAUACUGGGAAGCUAGAGGAUGUUAGAGGAAAGUGGAAUUCCAAGUGUAGCGGUGAAAUGCGUAGAUAUUUGGAGGAACACCAGUGGCGAAAGCGGCUUUCUGGGACAUUCCUGACGCUGAGGUUCGAAAGCUCGGGGAGCAAACAG